UGGGGAAUAUUGCACAAUGGGCGCAAGCCUGAUGCAGCCAUGCCGCGUGUAUGUAGAAGGCCUUCGGGUUGUAAAGUACUUUCAGCGGGGAGGAAGGGAGUAAAGUUAAUACCUUUGCUCAUUGACGUUACCCGCAGAAGAAGCACCGGCUAACUCCGUGCCAGCAGCCGCGGUAAUACGGAGGGUGCAAGCGUUAAUCGGAAUUACUGGGCGUAAAGCGCACGCAGGCGGUUUGUUAAGUCAGAUGUGAAAUCCCCGGGCUCAACCUGGGAACUGCAUCUGAUACUGGCAAGCUUGAGUCUCGUAGAGGGGGGUAGAAGUCCAGGUGUAGCGGUGAAAUGCGUAGAGAUCUGGAGGAAUACCGGUGGCGAAGGCGGCCCCCUGGACGAAGACUGACGCUCAGGUGCGAAAGCGUGGGGAGCAAACAGG
rnacentral:rRNA from 1 species